rnacentral:rRNA from 1 species
UAACCAUACUGGUGGAUACGCAGCAUACCAUGCAAGUCGAGCGGUAGCACGAGAGCUUGCUCUCGGGUGACGAGCGGCGGACGGGUGAGUAAUGUCUGGGAAACUGCCUGAUGGAGGGGGAUAACUACUGGAAACGGUAGCUAAUACCGCAUAAUGUCGCACCACCAAAGUGGGGGACCUUCGGGCCUCAUGCCAUCAGAUGUGCCCAGAUGGGAUUAUCUAGUAGGUGGGGUAACGGCUCACCUAGGCCACGAUCCCUAGCUGGUCUGAGAGGAUGACCAGCCACACUGGAACUGACACACGGUCCACACUCCUACGGGAGGCAGCAGUGGGGAAUAUUGCACAAUGGGCGCAAGCCUGAUGCACCCAUGCCGCGUGUGUGAAGAAGGCCUUCGGGUUGUAAAGCACUUUCAGCGGGGAGGAAGGCGGUGAGGUUAAUAACCUUGGCGAUUGACGUUACCCGCAAAAGAAGCACCGGCUAACUCCGUGCCAGCAGCCGCGGUAAUACGGAGGGUGCAAGCGUUAAUCGGAAUUACUGGGCGUAAAGCGCACGCAGGCGGUCUGUCAAGUCGGAUGUGAAAUCCCCGGGCUCAACCUGGGAACUGCAUUCGAAACUGGCAGGCUAGAGUCUUGUAGAGGGGGGUAGAAUUCCAGGUGUAGCGGUGAAAUGCGUAGAGAUCUGGAGGAAUACCGGUGGCGAACGCGGCCCCCUGGACAAAGACUGACGCUCAGGUGCGAAAGCGUGGGGAGCAAACAGGAUUAUAUACCCUGGUACUCCACGCCGUACACGAUGUCUAUUUGGAGGUUGUGCUCUUGAGGCGUGGCUUCCGGAGCUCACGCGUUAUAUCGACCGCCUGGGAGAGUACGGCCGCGAGGUUAACACUCAUAUGAAGUGACGGGGGCCCGCACAAGCGGUAGAGCAUGUGUUUUAAUUCGAUGCAACGCGAGAUCUUACCUGUCGUGACAUCACAGACUUUACAGAGAUGGAUUGUGUCUCGAGACUGUAGACAGUGCUGCAUGCUGUCGUCAGCUCGUGUUGUGAAUGUUGGAUAGUCCGCACGAACGCAAUCAUAUCCUGUGCAGCGUCCGCCGACUCGAGG